UACGGAGGGAGCGAGCGUUGUUCGGAAUUACUGGGCGUAAAGCGUGCGCAGGCGGAUUUUCAAGUCAGAAGUGAAAUCCCAGGGCUUAACCCUGGAAUUGCUUUUGAAACUGGAUAUCUUGAAUCCAGGAGAGGUGAGUGGAAUUCCGAGUGUAGAGGUGAAAUUCGUAGAUAUUCGGAAGAACACCAGUGGCGAAGGCGACUCGCUGGACAAGUAUUGACGCUGAGGUGCGAAAGCGUGGGGAGCAAACAGG
rnacentral:rRNA from 1 species